AAGUAACGCCGGUCGGUGGAUCCGUCGGCUCGGAAAGCGAGAAAGGCCGCAGUAGACUGCGAUAAUCGGGAGGGACGAGCGAAAUCGAGAACUCCCGAUGGCCUAAUGACAUAGUUGCCGU
rnacentral:rRNA from 1 species